rnacentral:tRNA from 1 species
ACUUUCAAAGGAUAAAAGACGUCCAUUAACCUUAGGCGUUAGACCCUCCUGGUGCAACUCCAGGUGAAAGUA